UACACUCCUACGGGAGGCAGCAGUGGGGAAUAUUGGACAAUGGGCGCAAGCCUGAUCCAGCCAUGCCGCGUGAGUGAUGAAGGCCCUAGGGUUGUAAAGCUCUUUCACCGGUGAAGAUAAUGACGGUAACCGGAGAAGAAGCCCCGGCUAACUUCGUGCCAGCAGCCGCGGUAAUACGAAGGGGGCUAGCGUUGUUCGGAUUUACUGGGCGUAAAGCGCACGUAGGCGGACUAUUAAGUCAGGGGUGAAAUCCCGGGGCUCAACCCCGGAACUGCCUUUGAUACUGGUAGUCUUGAGUUCGAGAGAGGUGAGUGGAGUUCCGAGUGUAGAGGUGAAAUUCGUAGAUAUUCGGAGGAACACCAGUGGCGAAGGCGGCUCACUGGCUCGAUACUGACGCUGAGGUGCGAAAGCGUGGGGAGCAAACAGGAUUAGAUACCCCUGUAGUCC
rnacentral:rRNA from 1 species